rnacentral:lncRNA from 1 species
GUAGGAGAGCAGUCACUGAAGGCAGUCAUUGAGGGCGGUCACUGUGCGUCUGUCAGCGGACGUGCGGGCACGGCUGUGAGCGUGCUGCUGUUCCCCGCUCCGCAGCGCCGCGCGGGUUCGCAUUCCCGCGCUUCUCUUACCCGGAGUGCACGGCGGUCCUCCGUCGCUCCUUGGAGCAGUGUCCGUUCUGAACAGUCAGGCCCUUUUUGGUGUCCUGGAUCACUCUACAACUCGGGGUGGAAGUUGAAGACUCAGAUCCAAUAUCCCACAGGCACAGCUGAUGCUGAACCCAGGAGCCCAGGUUGUGCUCAGGAGUUACUCCAAGAUGAGGAGUUUUGAAGACUAUUGGUCUUCAAGCAGGUGACAGUAGCAGCAGAACACUGGGCCAGUGCAGGGGGAAGGAAGAGGGAAAGGACAGGAUACCUUCAGAGCAGCCUGAAAAGCAGCAACGAGCUCUGGGAGGACUACAGAGUGCCACAUUCUGUAACAGGUGUAUCUGUGUGUGUAUUGCCAUUACUUGUUUGGGUCGGGGUUGUUUUCACUUCUGAGCUCCUGCAGUGAGAAGAGCUCGAGCAAAUGGUGCAAUCCAUGCAGACCUGUAGAAUCCUUGGUAAGGGCAGCCCCAGCC